CUUUGCAACAAGGAACUUUAUUUCAAUUUCACAACUGCUGCUAAACAAAGCAACUAGGUUGUCAAUCAAAAACCAGACCAUCGAUUUGAUGGCAAAUUUACAUGACUAUACGGGGAUGAAAAAGCCAUCCUCCAUCCCACGGAAUGAAGUUUUCCAAGCAAUAUAUACAUAGCAAUCAUUUAUAUGUCAAUUUAAAAACUAAACAACCAUUUCUUUUGCCUUAGAUAGGCAAAGGCUAUUCAACCUCAAAUACUACCUGCACAAACCGAAAACUAUAGGCAGCAGGCUGUAAUAGUUAACUACAACACUAUGCAAAUCAUCAAGAACAACAAAGAGGGCAACGAACCAAGCCAUUUUCAUUGCACUGUGGACAUCUCCUGAGCUGUCCAUCAUCCUCAUCAAAAUAUUUUCUGCUGCCAUCACAAUUGGAGCAAGGUAAGAAGCGCAUGUCCCCGCAUCCUUCACAAGUAUACCCAGGUGGCCUAAGAGGUAAUCCUCUUAACAACUUGGACAACUCGCCCACUUCAUUCAAUUGCUUGAUCACUUCAGCCCCUCCAACAUACUUCCCUUUAAUAAAAACUUGGGGCAAAGUCACAUUCUUCGGACCCAAAACAUUCUGCAGUUCUUUUUUAUACGCACUAUCCAUUGAAAUAUCUCUUUCAUCAAUUUUGACCCGAAAACUCUUAAGAAUCAUUCUAACCGUAUAACAAUCCUCAAACGUUCUCCUAAUCCCACGAAGACUAGUAAAAUAUAUCACAACCGAGUCCUCUGUUCCAGGCAAGGUACAUCCAAAAGACGGAACCCUAGAAUCAGAAUUAAAUGAUUUUGCAGGCUUUGUAGGGCUUUGAGGUUGUAAAUUGGAUGGUUUACGAGAUUCAAAAAGAGAACAUAGUUUUUUGACGGUACCCUUAAAAGAAGAUCCUAAAGAAGAGGUAUGAAGCUUCUUGACAGAGCCAUGCCGUUCAAUAGAAGGAGGAGAUGGGUAAAAAUAAACAGUUUUUUCAGGGAAUUCGAUUGGAUUGGCAGCGUUAUGAAGCGUCAUGGAUCGAUUAAACAUGAUGGCUGAUUUAGGUUUAUGAAUUUCAUCAUCCCUGAAACGAUCCAUUGAAAGAGAAAAUCAAAUUGGUUUUAAGGGGUUUAGAUAAAUUGCGUGGAUAACAAGCAAUGGAAUCCUAAAAUCACAGGGAAGAUGGAGAUUUGAUGAAAAAAAG
rnacentral:misc_RNA from 1 species